rnacentral:rRNA from 1 species
AUACGAAGGGUGCGAGCGUUAAUCGGAAUUACUGGGCGUAAGGCGCGCGUAGGCGGUUGGAUAAGUCGGAUGUGAAAGCCCCGGGCUCAACCUGGGAAUUGCAUUCGAAACUGUCCGGCUAGAGUAUGGUAGAGGGAAGCGGAAUUCCACAUGUAGCGGUGAAUUGCGUAGAUAUGUGGAGGAACACCAGUGGCGAAGGCGGCUUCCUGGACCAAUACUGACGCUGAGGUGCGAAAGCGUGGGGAGCAAACAGGAUUAGAAACCCCAGUAGUCC